rnacentral:rRNA from 1 species
AACGAACGCUGGCGGCAGGCCUAACACAUGCAAGUCGAGCGCGCCCUUCGGGGUGAGCGGCGGCCGGGGGAGUAACGCGUGGGAACGUGCCCUUUUCUACGGAAUAGCCUCGGGAAACUGAGAGCAAUACCGUAUACGCCCUAUGGGGGAAAGAUUUAUCGGAAAAGGAUCGGCCAGCGUUGGAUUAGGUUGUUGGUGGGGUAAUGGCCUACUAAGCCGACGAUCCAUAGCUGGGUUGAGAGGAUGAUCAGCCACACUGGGACUGAGACACGGCCCAGACUCCUACGGGAGGCAGCAGUGGGGAAUCUUAGACGAUGGGGGCAAGCCUGAUCUAGCCAUGCCGCGAGAGUGAUGAAGGCCUGAGGGUUGUAAGGCUCUUUCAGCUGGGAAGAUAAUGACGGUACCAGCAGAAGAAGCCCCGGCUAACUCCGU